rnacentral:rRNA from 1 species
AUGAACAAGUUUUUUGAUGUGGAGGAUCCAGCAGGAAUGAGGUUUAUUGAUGAAAAGCAUGUUGAUGAGGUCUGUGCAGCAAAUAUAGAAAAAUUUCAACUCCAGAACAUAGGGCAAAGAAAUAAUAAGUCUCUUUGCGCUCUCCUUGUAGGAUUUUUUUCAAAGUUUUGCGGGAUGGUCCCUAGCGAUGUAUCCACUUACACUGGUCAGCCCAAACGAACCCAUGACAAGAUGAAAUCUCACCGCUGGUUUGUAAGUAUUUCCUUCACAGUCGAAGAUCCAUUUGAUAGAUCUGAUAAUGCAGCUAGAACAGUUGAUGCGCUACAGCUUGGGCGUAUUGCCAAUGCCUUCACAAACGCUGCUGCCGUAACCUUCUACUCUUAUGAUCCCGACGACCGGAAUGAAUUACUUACGCUGCUGUGUACACCUGAAGUUCGUUCAAAACUAGGUGCAAGACUUUCAACCAGUCCUCAACAGGGCGGAGUCACAGGAUCUCUGGAACUUGUGGCAGCUACCCCAUACGAUGAUCAGUGUUGCCACAGGGCCACAGGAUCCAAAAGGAAGCGGGGGAAUUCAUAG